rnacentral:misc_RNA from 1 species
AAGGAUCAUUAUUGAAGGGAUUCGUCCCCUCUUGAUAGAUACCCUUUGUUUAUGAGUACCAAUUGUUUCCUCGGCGGGCUUGCUCGCCGUUGGACAACCAAAAACCUUUGUAGUAGCCGUACCUUCAGUUUAAAAAUAAAUAUUAAAACUUUCAACAACGGAUCUCUUGGUUCUGGCAUCGAUGAAGAACGCAGCGAAAUGCGAUAAGUAGUGUGAAUUGCAGAAUUCAGUGAAUCAUCGAAUCUUUGAACGCACAUUGCGCCCUUCGGUAUUCCGUUGGGCAUGCCUGUUCGAGCGUCAUUUAAACCUUCAAGCUCUGCUUGGUGUUGGGUGUUUGUUCCGCCUUAGCGCGUGGACUCGCCUUAAAUUCAUUGGCAGCCGGUAUAUUGGCUUCAUGCGCAGCACAUUGCGUCAUGAUGUUAGCGUACCCCCCUUCCAUUAAGCUUUUUUCUUAGUUUGACCUCGGAUCAGGUAGGGAUACCCGCUGAACUUAA